rnacentral:rRNA from 1 species
CCUACGGGAGGCAGCAGUGGGGAAUAUUGCGCAAUGGGCGAAAGCCUGACGCAGCGACGCCGCGUGAGGGAUGAAGGUCUUCGGAUCGUAAACCUCUGUCAGCAGGGAAGAACGGUCACUGUGCUAAUCAGCAGUGAAUUGACGGUACCUGCAAAGGAAGCACCGGCUAACUCCGUGCCAGCAGCCGCGGUAAUACGGAGGGUGCGAGCGUUAAUCGGAAUUACUGGGCGUAAAGCGCUCGUAGGCGGUAUGUCAAGUCAGGGGUGAAAUCCCCGGGCUCAACGUGGGAACUGCCUUUGAAACUGGCAAACUGGAGUGUGUGAGAGGAUAGUAGAAUUCCAGGUGUAGGAGUGAAAUGCGUAGAUAUCUGGAGGAACAUCAGUGGCGAAGGCGACUAUCUGGCACAUAACUGACGCUGAGGAGCGAAAGCGUGGGUAGCAAACAGGAUUAGAUACCCGGGUAGUC